ensembl:misc_RNA Metazoa_SRP Metazoan signal recognition particle RNA
GCUGGGCAUGGUGGCGCUUGCCUGUAGUCCCAGCUACUCGGGAGGCUGAGGCAGGAGAAUCGCUUGAACCUGGGAGGUGGAGGUUGCAGUGAGCUGAGAUUGUGCCAUUGCACUCCAGCCUGGGUGACAGAGCGAGACUCUGUCUCAA